rnacentral:rRNA from 1 species
UGAAUACGAGACGCUAAGGCGUCGAAGUAGUGUAUGUCAUACUUCCAAGAAAAGCUUGCACUGUCAUAGAUAAAAAACGCCUGUACCAUAACCGACACAGGUGGGUAGGUAGAGUAUACUAAGGGGCGCGAGAUAACUCUCUCUAAGGAACUCGGCAAAAUAACUCCGUAACUUCGGGAGAAGGAGUGCCUUAUUCGUAAGGUUGCAAUAACAAGAUCCAAGCAACUGUUUAUCAAAAACACAGGUCUCCGCUAAGUCGUAAGACGAUGUAUGGGGGCUGACGCCUGCCCAGUGCCAGAAGGUCAAAGAAGUUGGUUAGCAAUUGCGAAGCUGAUAACUGAAGCCCUGGUGAACGGCGGCCGUAACAAUAACGGUCCUAAGGUAGCGAAAUUCCUUGUCGGGUAAGUUCCGACCCGCACGAAAGGCGUAAUGAUUUGGAUACUGUCUCGGAGAGGGGCUCGGUGAAAUAGACUUGUCUGUGAAGAUGCGGACUACCUGCACCAGGACAGAAAGACCCUACGAAGCUUUACUGUAACUUGAAAUUGAAAUUGGACUUUAUUCGCGCAGUAUAGGUGGGAGGCGUUGAUUAUAAUCUUGUGGGAUUAUUGGAGCCAUCAGUGAGAUACCACUCUUGUAAUGUUAGAUUUCUAACUUUGAAUCAUUAUCUGGUCAAAGAACAGUUUCAGGCGGGCAGUUUGACUGGGGCGGUCGCCUCCUAAACGGUAACGGAGGCGUACAAAGGUUUCCUCUGAACGGUUAGAAAUCGUAUCUAGAGUGUAAAGGCAUAAGGAAGCUUGACUGUGAGACCUACAAGUCGAGCAGGGACGAAAGUCGGUCUUAGUGAUCUGACGGUACUGAGUGGAAAGGCCGUCACUCAACGGAUAAAAGUUACUCUAGGAUAACAGGCUGAUCUCCCCCAAGAGUUCACAUCGACGGGGAGGUUUGGCACCUCGAUGUCGGCUCAUCGCAUCCUGGGGCGGUAGUACGUCCCAAGGGUUGGGCUGUUCGCCCAUGAAAGCGGUACGCGAGCUGGGUUCAGAACGUCGUGAGACAGUUCGGUCCAUAUCCGGUGUAGGCGUUAGAAUAUUGAGAGGAGCCUUCUUAGUACGAGAGGACCGAGAAGGACAUACCUCUGGUGUACCAGUUAUCGUGCCAACGGUAAACGCUGGGUAGCUAUGUAUGGAGUGGAUAACCGCUGAAAGCAUCUAAGUGGGAAGCCCACCUCAAGAUAAGUAUUCUCAAC